rnacentral:rRNA from 1 species
GGCUCAGAUUGAACGCUGGCGGCAUGCCUUACACAUGCAAGUCGAACGGUAACAGGUCUUCGGACGCUGACGAGUGGCGAACGGGUGAGUAAUACAUCGGAACGUGCCCAGUCGUGGGGGAUAACUACUCGAAAGAGUAGCUAAUACCGCAUACGAUCUGAGGAUGAAAGCGGGGGACCUUCGGGCCUCGCGCGAUUGGAGCGGCCGAUGGCAGAUUAGGUAGUUGGUGGGAUAAAAGCUUACCAAGCCGACGAUCUGUAGCUGGUCUGAGAGGACGACCAGCCACACUGGGACUGAGACACGGCCCAGACUCCUACGGGAGGCAGCAGUGGGGAAUUUUGGACAAUGGGCGAAAGCCUGAUCCAGCAAUGCCGCG